AUACGGAGGACGCGAGCGUUAUCCGGAUUCAUUGGGUUUAAAGGGUGCGCAGGCGGCCGUGCAAGUCAGCGGUGAAAGCCCGGGGCUCAACCCCGGAAGUGCCGUUGAUACUGCGUGGCUGGAAUGCGGUCGAGGCGGGCGGAACGUGGCGUGUAGCGGGGAAAUGCGUAGAUAUGCCACAGAACGCCGAUAGCGGAGGCAGCUCGCCAGGCCUGCAUUGACGCUCGGGCACGAAAGCGUGGGGAUCGAACAGGAUUAGAUACCCUGGUAGUCCACGCCGUAAACGAUGGGCGCUCGUCGUCGGCGACAGACAGUCGGCGGCCAAGCGAAAGCGAUAAGCGCCCCACCUGGGGAGUACGGUCGCAAGGCUGAAACUCAAAUGAAUUGACGGGG
rnacentral:rRNA from 1 species